rnacentral:rRNA from 1 species
UACGUAGGGUGCAAGCGUUGUCCGGAAUUAUUGGGCGUAAAGAGCUCGUAGGCGGUUUGUCGCGUCGGCUGUGAAAACUCGGGGCUCAACCCCGAGCCUGCAGUCGAUACGGGCAGACUAGAGUGCGGUAGGGGAGACUGGAAUUCCUGGUGUAGCGGUGAAAUGCGCAGAUAUCAGGAGGAACACCGGUGGCGAAGGCGGGUCUCUGGGCCAUUACUGACGCUGAGGAGCGAAAGCGCGGGGAGCGAACAGG